rnacentral:rRNA from 1 species
AUGGUUUGGCACCUCGAUGUCGGCUCGUCGCAUCCUGGGGCUGGAGUAGGUCCCAAGGGUUGGGCUGUUCGCCCAUUAAAGCGGCACGCGAGCUGGGUUUAGAACGUCGCGAGACAGUUCGGUCCCUAUCCGCUGCGCGCGUAGGAGAAUUGUGAGGGUCUGUCCCUAGUACGAGAGGACCGGGACGGACGGACCUCUGGUGUGCCAGUUGUCCCGCCAGGGGCACGGCUGGUUGGCUACGUUCGGUCGGGAUAACCGCUGAAAGCAUCUAAGCGGGAAGCCUUCCUCGAGAUGAGUUCUCCCACCCCAUGUGGGUGUAAGGCCCCCGGUAGACGACCGGGUUGAUAGGCCGGAGAUGGAAGCGCGGUAACGUGUGGAGUCGACCGGUACUAAUAGGCCGAGUGGCUUGAACACAC